rnacentral:rRNA from 1 species
GACGAACGCUGACGGCGUGCUUAACACAUGCAAGUCGAACGAAGUGGAGAACGGGUGAGUAACGCGUAAUCAACCUGCCCUUCAGAGGGGGACAACAGUUGGCAACGACUGCAAAUACCGCAUACUGAAGGAGGGGAUUGCGUCGGAUUAGCUAGGUGGCGGGGGAACGGCCCAACAAGGCGAUGAUCAGUAGCCGGUCUGAGAGGAGGAUCAGCCACACUGGGACUGGUACACGGCCCAGACUCCUACGGGAGGAAGCAGUGGGGAAUCUUCCGCAAUGGACGAAAGUCUGACGGAGCAACGCCGCGUGAGUGAUGACGGCCUUCGGGUUGUAAAGCUCUGUUAAUCGGGACGCGGUACCGGAAUAGAAAGCCACGGCUAACUACGUGCCAGCAGUCGCGGUAAUUC